rnacentral:sRNA from 1 species
GCGAUGAGCUGAUUUGCAUAAGACGAGGAACAAAGAAAUACAUGUGAAUGUGAACACAUGGUCCCUCGCCGCAAAUUUUCGAAAAGGCACCUGUGCAUUUUAUGCAUAGGUG